AGAAAAGAAAAGAAAAGAAAAGGAAAGAGACCAGGCUGGAUUUUUCCGCCAGGCUAGCGUUUCUCUCAGACCACAACCUCCUUUUCUUGGCGCCCUCCCCUUUCAGGUUUCACAGAUUGAACAGCCGGGACCCAUAAAAGGGGACAUUGCGGGUCACAGGAAAAAGGAUGGGUUUGACUCAGGGGAAGCCCUGGAAUUUCCUUGCCUGGAGAUCUUCAAGACUCAAAUGAGAGUCUCCUGAACCCGGGAGGAUUUCUUGCUCUUCUCCUUGGCCUCUUUCCCUUCCCCUGUCUGGAAUGCUCUCCAAAUCUCUUUCUCGAAGUCCCGUCCUUUUCUUAAAAGCCUCUCCUGACCCUUCCAGGCUUCAGGGCUCCCUGAGGCCACAGACCAUGACCCUAGAGCCUUGCUGACUGACAGUGAGAAAGCAGACGCCCGAGAGGACCCUGGGUCCCACCCAACUCUGAGGGUCUGUCAUCACAGUCUUUGACGAGGGUGGGGAGCGCCUUCUCAAGGUUGUGCUCUCGUGUCUGACAGGAGAGGUUAAACUCCAGCUUGUGUGGGUGGCGAAAAGAUCUGGGCCAGAGGGGAGGACGGUUGUCCUAGAAGAACUGGGUUGGGUCACACACCAAGGAAUUGCUCAAGGCUGGUUUCGCCGGUCAGCAAAAGGGUCCAGGAAGCAGAACCCGUGGGAGGGAAAAGAAACUGGGCUGCUCACUCCAAAAGCCUGGCCACCCAAGUUCAGCAAGUUCACGUUCCUGGGGCCUUGCGGGAGGGAAGGGGAACAGCUGGGCUCCUUGCAAUAGAUCUGUGCUUUUCCAAGCAAAGCGUCACGGAGCCUCAUCAUCCAAAGAGAUCAACACGCCUACUGGGAGACUAACGAAGAUCUCAAAUCUGGAGUAUUCGAUUACUAACGCAGGUCCUGGGCACUGGGAGGUUGAAAAACCACCAUACGAACGGAGUUAGAUCUGAAAGCAAGGGGCUUGAUCUCUCACCACACACAUCAGCUGAACUGUGCUGUGAACCUGAUGUUUGUUUAUUAGUAAACAACCAGCACCAGUGUGCUAUUUUUGUGGUCGAUUUCUUUGUUUGGGUUCAUUUCCUUUUUGAAACAUUUCAUGAAUAUAUUUGUACCACAAUCAAAUUCAUGAUUCUUAAAAUUCACUAGGAGGCAAAACACAAAACAAAACAAAACUCAGAGCAUGAAAAUAUUCUAUGAAAGGAGAGUAAAUGGAACAGAUUUUUUUUUUUUUCUGUGCAAGUUUCUUGUAGAAAUCUGAAUCCCGUCACAACUUUUCGUCCUUAAACUAACUGGAGGCUAAAGCCUAUCUUUAUUCCUUGAUUUUUAAUUGGAGAAUACAUUUGAUCAUUUUUAAGGUGAAAACAGUAAACGACUUAGAAGUACUUUUCUACCUCAUUGGGGUUUACUUUGAUGACUGAAAAUCAAGGGUCUCAGGAUGCUGUUUGCAAGGCUUAUGCUGAAAACAUGCGUGGGGGCACCUGGAUGGCUCGGUCGGUUAAGCGUCGGACUCUUGAUUUCCGCUCAGGUCGUGAUCUCACGGUUCGUGGGUUUGAGCCCCGCAUGAGGCUCUGUGCUGACAACGUGGCGCCUGCAUGGGAUUCUCUAUCUCUCUCUCUCUCUCUCUCUGGCCCUCCCCACUCGCUUUCAAAAUAAAUAAAAGUAAACUUAAACCAGUGUGUCUAAAGAGGGUCCUAUCUCACUUUAAAAGGAAUGCAGUUACAUUUUUAUAAAAAAAUAAACAUGCAAAGAUGAAUCUACUAAUGCCACAUCUGGCCUCAUCCCCCCAGAGGCAUCACCCCCCACUCUGCCUUCCACUUUGCUACCCCACUGCCCGCAGGAGCCAGCGCCCAGCUUGCCUGCCACGAUGCUUCAGAGUCCACAGACCCUCGAGUAGGAUGGUCUGUGUUCAGAUCCUUGCUGUGUCAUCGGGUGAUUGCGGGCAAGUUACUCAAGCCCUCUAAGCAUCGCUUAGAUGGGGGCAGUCGUGGGACCUGCCUCUUAAGGUUGUUCUGGGACUCAAACGAACUAAAACAAAGCACUUAGCACCCUGCCUGGCCCAUGCUGGACUCUCAGUGAACAUUUUGUGGGCAUUCUCAUCCUGGAACAACAAAUGAUUCACGCUUCUCGGGGCCAAACGUCCUCUUUCAAGUUACAUGCUGGUUCCUCGAGAAGACAGGUCGGGAAAGCCCGUCCCCUUUUUCUUCACCUGGGAAAAUGAAGCUCCCACAUCAGGAGUCCAUUCAAAUAUCAGCUUUGCUAAAGUAUUUUCUUUAAAAAAGAUUUUUUUUUUAAUGUUUAUUUUUGAGAGAGACAGACUGUGAAUAGAGGAGGGGCAGAGAGAGAGGGAGACACAGAAUCCAAAGCAGGCUCCAGGCUCUGAGCUGUCAGCCCAGAGCCCGAUGCAGGGCUUGAACUCAUGAAGAGUGAGAUCAUGACCCGAGCCAAAAUCAGAUGCUUAACCAAAUGAGCCACCCAGGUGCCCCUGAAGUAUUUUCUUGUAGCUGCCCAUCCCCCACCCACUUUGAAGCUGGUCGGUAGCUCCUACUUAACUGAGCCAUAAUCGACCGAACCUAUUAUGUCUUUGGGUCUUGCUUUACCGCAAAAUCCGGGACCAUUUAGAACGCAGAAGUGAAUGUUGUUCCUCUUUGCACUAUGGAUGCCAAGCGCCCAAGCAGACACUCAAUAAAUAUUUAUUGAAUGAAUAAAACAAAAUGGAAUCAAGUGACAUCUGCAUGGAUGCCAGGAUGUAUAGAGCAUAUGGCUUUAGAGAAAUGUAAUCCAUGUUACAUCUUUUCCAGAAACCAGUUAUUUCGGGCUGGAAAUGAAUGUAACCAAACCAGAUGUCGUGGAAGACAGGAGAAAAAGAGAAACUGGGAGAAAAAUGAGGGGAAUGGUUUCGGGGUUUUGCUCUCUUUCCAGGAAGGAUGUGUUCUCCAUCUUGUAGGUCUUCCUCCUCCAUGAGUUUAUUAUGAGCUUCUUGAGGAAGAAGACCAGCUCUUCAUCCUUCACGGUGCCAACGAUGUUUGUUGAAUUGAAGAAGAAAGAGCUAAAAGCCUAAGCCCUGUACAAGUCCCCAGACAAAAAGGUCAGAAACGUGGAAUGAGGCUGUGCUUUAGCAGAUGUUAGCUUGUAACUGUCCGUGUCAAACACUGGCCAUACCAGUGAGAUAAACAGAAAUUAGGAAACACUCACGGCUUCCCUCAUCUUCCUCAUGGCCAGUCCUCAAGCAGGAGCCAAGGCAUCCUGAGUGAGGCUGACUGCACUUCCUCUGCUCCAUCCGCAUGCUCCCCUGACUCGGGCCAGACUGCUUCUCACCUGUCGAGUCCACUCUGGUUUCCCCUAGCCUUUCCUCCCUCUUGUACACCAUCCUCCUUGCUGGCAGGGUCAUUAUUCUAGAACUUAGAUUUGACCGUAUUACCUCUGCUUAAGCCUUCGGACUCCCUGUUAACUGAAAGAUACCAUCUUUUCCACAUGGCAUCCGAGGUGCUCCAUGGUGGUGCCCAAAUCCACCCUUCUAGACUCAACCCUGCCAUUUUCCUCCCAGGCCCCCUACAUCUCAACAACCCUGAACUCUCUCUCCCCCUCAAUACGUUGUUUCCUUCCUUGUCUUUGUGCAUGCUGGGCCCCUCUGCCCGGAAAACUGCUCCCCCUUCUCCACACAUACAUGUUCUCUACACACUUUUCUAUAUCCAGCCCAAACAGCUCUCUGUGCAACACAGUGGAGUUAAUUGUUCCCACCAAGGCCUCAUAGAUCUGUUUGGGUAGCCAUUAAGCUGUGUGUUCAUUUACAGAACCCAAAGAACAUAGGACGAUGUCUUUUACUUCUUUGACCUCCAACACCUAUCCUAUACUGGGUGCUCAAGAAAUGUUGAAUAAAUAAAGGAAUAAAGUCUAGGUCUUUGUGAGUCAGGUUGGUGGAACAGGCCUUCCUAUCUGUCUAGGCUUUUGUUUCUUCCCUUAACUACAAGACUGUGUGUUUAGCCUUUCUUCAUGACAAGCUGUUCUCGUUAGAGAAGAGUUAUAUUAUUCUAGCUUUCAGUCACCCACUGGCUGAUGGGUUAUCCAAUGGAAACUCUGUUGCCCGUCUACUAUAUGGAUAAGAAUUGCAAAUGAAAGCAGCUUAGUGUGCUGAAAACAAGAUCUUAAGUACAUUCGAAGGGCAAAUAAACAAAUGGGGAAUGUAUGCCAUUGGUAUUAUACGUGAUUGCUUUAAUGUCAUUUUGCUGAUAAUUUAUGCAGUUCCCCUUCUCUAGUCAACCCCUUAAGUGCAAAUAAUUGAGGGUUGUCAAAACAUUUUCAAUAACUCUGACCUUUGCACAUAUACAGUGAGUAAGAAGGUGUAGAAAAAUUACUGGCCUUCAAAAAGGGGAAAGGUUCACUCCUGAAUUGCCUAAGAAAUGACAAAAUGAGUUCAUGUAAAGCUUGAUAGGGAACAGGAAGUUAAAAAAAAAAAAAACUGUGAUAAGGAAAGAGAAAUGCUGACCCAGAAAAGAUGAUCUGAAAAUGCAGAGGGAAACUUUUUUGACACAGAUGUAAUGUAAGAUCAUUGCUCUGAGGUGUUUUUUUUUUUUUGUUUUUUUUUUUAAGAUAGGGCUAUAAAAGUGAGAAUUGAACUCAUGAUUCUGUAAGACAAGCAUGUCUGAUGAGCGGGGGGAAAUGGUUAUUCACUCUACUGGAAUUGCUUUAAUGGAAACUUCUUGAUGAGAGUUGUGUCUUAAAAUACUCAUCCAGUGAUGAGGAGUUAUUUCAAGAUGUGAAGUCAAGGAGGUGGUUGCAGUGAGGUUCGUGUGUGAAGCACGCCAUGUCUUCAGGAUGCCGAGUGGAGCCAGAUGAACAGUGUGCCAACAACUGUUCCCACUGGCCUUUUUGGACAGCUGGUUCCCAUCCCAGGGACAUACUGGCAGCCAUCAGCAACUAGUAAAUCUAUGAAUGCCGCCCAAGCAAAAGGGCGGGGUGAGGCCUUGAGCUCCUUCCUUUCUCCUUGGUAAUCCCCAUCUGCCCAGCAGAGUCCUUCCCUCUGGCUCAGCCGUCCUAAACUCUUCUCCGUUCUCGCUCUCUACUACAACAGUAGACAAGGCCCCCAGUAGACCUCCGGGCCUCCAGCCCGCUUUCUGUGCCCAUGAAAACCAACAGCUUUUGAAGUGCAACUCUCAAGAGAGGAGAAAUUAAAUUUCAACUGUCCAAUUCGGCUGUCCCUGUUCCGGUGCGUCAUUCAAGACCCAGGUCAAUGUCACCGCCUCUGAUGCUUCUUCCAGUUCUCCCAGGCAGCAAGACACUACUUCUCCUGUGUUAACACGUUUCUGUACAUGCCUCCACUUUCAUAGACUCCCAUCGCUACUAUGGUAUUCUGGUUGCACACCUUGGGUGCCCUUAAAGUCAAAGACUCCAAGUCUCCAUUCCCCCAAGCCUAGCACACGGCUUCUCAGUAUGUGCUUGUGGAAUGAAUGUCCAUAUGAAUAUACUUCCGAAUGAAGAGCAACCGUGGGCAGAUUUUGUCUGUUGACAUCCUUUUGAAGACAAGAGCCAAACAUGUUGAAUGGCAGCCAUUGCCCAUGUGAAACUUGAAUUUGGGCCGAGGUUUGGUGCAAGGUGCCUGAGCCACAUAAACAAGCAAACUGGAGGGCCGGGAUUGGUUUCCAGUAACUUAUCAGUGACAUACUUGGGGAUGUGAACACUCCCCUUUCCAAAGUCAAUACCCAGUCCUUGCCAGACAUCUUCUCCUGAAGCACUUAUUAAACGGGGCGCCACGGAGCUCCAGAAAUAAAGGAGCUUGAAGAAAGCACGUUGCAUUUAUGAUGGUUUGGAUUAAAAUUUAAUUGGGACUGAGAUGGAGUGAGUGGGAAGCUAAGGUGAGUUUCCUAGUGCAAAGGGGAGCUCAUUUUCUGUUUGUGUGAGGUAACCUAUUUGUUCACCCCACCCCUACACUCGCUCCCCAUAUCCACAGUCCUUUCUCAAUUCCUAUUUAGCACAAAGCUCUGGGUCUCUAAAGAGAGGAAGGCCAAUUACAUAACCCAUGUGGAUGGGAGACAUUGACCCUGAUAUGCCAAAGGCCUUUAAAACCUUCUGUUUGAUAUGAUGUAGGUACAGUGGUGGGUACACCAUAAUAGGUCAGAAAUUUCAAUACUAUUCAUUGGAAGAGAUAGAAAGGUUUCACGGGCAGGAGAGAAGGAGGGAAGGUAGAAUUCUAGCACUAAUUUGAAGAGAAGGAGCCAUUUGGGGAAACUAGAAGUUUAAAAAUAGCUCACCUUUGGGGCACCUGGGUGGCUCAGUCAGUUAAGCGGCCGACUCUUGAUCUCUGCUCAGGUCAUGAUCUCACAGUUUGUGAGAUCAAGCCCUGUGUUGAGCUCUGCCCUGACAGCACGGAACCUGCUGGGGAUUCGCUCUCUCUCUCUGCCCCUCCCCCACUUACUUGCAAGAGCUCGCUCUCAAAAAAACUUGAAAAAAAUAGCUCAACUUUUUAGGUCUUAUGGCUAAUCCUUAUCGAAUGGCAUCCAGAACGCUGUCAGACCCUUUGAAUGGGCAUAGGAAAUUUCAGGGGAAGACUUCUAGGAUAAAGUUGUUGGCAUACCCAGGCAACCCUCACUUUAAGGCUAUUUUAAAUGGGCUUGUCGGCUUAUAUAAUUGAGGCUUGUUGGGAGCUGGAAGAGGGGUGGUGGGAAAACCAUGAUUUCAUCUCCGUUAUAAACACAGGAAAUAAGUGUGCCACAAAAGGACUUCAUAGGUUGUGUUUUACAAGCUGCGGGAAAUGCCAUGGGAGAACCUAAGCCUACCUUAUGGUGAGAUGAAGUCCAGCCAGGAGCAAAAUUCCUGAGUCUCAGUUGAGAUAUUGAUACCUAAAAUGUGAAGAGUAGAAAGGGAAGCCUGGGGAAGCCUGGCUGGCUCAGUGGGUAGAGCCUGUGAUUCUUGAUCUUGGGGUUGUGAGUUCGAACCCCAUGUUGGAUGUAGGAAAAAACAAAAAAAGGGAGGUCCAGAUACCCCCUGUCUAAAUGUUUGAAAGUAAUAAAUCAAGUGAACAAACUGGUCAAUUAAAUAGGUCUUACCCUCCUACUUGACAAAUAUCCCUUCAUAACGGCCUGCUUCGAUUUCUCAAGCUGCUUGGCGUUCUGUGCAGGAGAUAGCAGCCAACAACCCCGGAUUCCUCUCUACCUGUGGUGUGUCCCCAUCCACAUUACACUCUGCCCCUGGCUUCUUUGGGUACCAAGAGGGGCCCCACAUGCACGUGGAUGGACACCCCAGGAGUAUGUCAAAGCUCUGUCUGUACCUCCAUGAAUAGCUGCACCUUGGUCAUCCUCAGGGUUAGAAGCAUCUGUCCUCAGGAGGCCAGACAUGAGGAAGAAACCCAAGAAAUGGGUUCUCAGUCAUUUGGGUCUCCAAUACCCCAUAUGUAGCAUUUUUGUCGGGAGCGACGAGGGGAUACCUGGGAGGACACGGGCUCCAGGCAAGCAAAUCUCCGUGAACCUAAGGAGUCUUCAUCUAUACUAAAGGGCAUGGCCAUAGGAAGCCCAGAAUGGAGACUUCAGGUCAAGAGCAGGUCCAGGUACAAAAGCUUUGUGAACGAGUCACGUGAGAGAGAACAAAGGGAAAUGAACUAGGAAGAGUGACAUCCCUACAUUGUACAGGCUGUGCGUGACUGCAGAUCCUUCCGUAGAACUAUCGGCGGGCAGAAGUAGCGACAGGGUCACGGUUGGGGGUGUGGGGGAGAGGAAAGGGCCAGAUACGGACCGAGGGGCGAGUAAGGAAUCAGAUAUAUGUAUCGCAACGCGCUGAAGAGAUAAGUUCUGUGGCACAGCGUUGGUAAUGCAUUUCGUGACGGCUGAGCGAGAGAAUCUGCCUCAGGAUGGGCCUCUCUGGGGGAGUCUGAGGGGCCAGCCUGCGGCAGAAAUGGAACCAGAGAUGACACUUGUGUCCACCUGGCAGCCGCUUCCAGAGACACGGGUGAGCUGGGCAUCGGUGACAUCACAAAGACAGAUGUGCUCAAGAGGAAGCGUUCCAGUCCUUCUGGGUAUCCUCUGAGAUAAGUAACUAGGAACUCAGGCCAAUUACUCUGGGGCCUCCGUACCCUCAUCCCGAUCCGGUCAGCCACGCAGUGCCAGCCUCCGUUCUGUCAGGAAGGGGUUUUGCUGUAAGUAGGGAGGGCAAGGGUAGACACCCAGGCCCUAUUUUUAAAGAAGACUGUUUAUUCUGGAAUUUUCCAGACACAUACAAAAGCAGAGGGUAUUGUAUGACAACCCCACCCCGACCCCUUCAACGAUUAACCAUGGUCAACGUUUUGUCAAACCGUUGGUCUAUUCCCCGGCUUUCUCCCCCACUGGAAUAUUAUUUUAUUUUGUUCUACUUUAAAUGUUUGCCCAUCUAUUU